GCUUGUCUCAAAGAUUAAGCCAUGCAUGUCUAAGUACAAGCCUCAGUAAGGUGAAACCGCGAAUGGCUCAUUAAAUCACACCUAAUCUACUGGAAAGUUACUAGUUACUUGGAUAACUGAGGUAAUUCUUGAGCUAAUACAUGCUAAAAAUCCCGACUUCGGAAGGGAUGUAUUUAUUAGAUUAAAAACCAAUGCCCUCUGGGCUCUCUGGUGAUUCAUGAUAACUUCUCGAAUCGCAUGGCCUUGCGCCGGCGAUGGUUCAUUCAAAUUUCUUCCCUAUCAACUUUCGAUGUUUGGGUAGUGGCCAAACAUGGUUGCAACGGGUAACGGAGGGUUAGGGCUCGACCCCGGAGAAGGAGCCUGAGAAACGGCUACUACAUCCAAGGAAGGCAGCAGG
rnacentral:rRNA from 1 species